UCGUGGGGGGGUAGAGGGCAAUUCUACCUCACCGGCGAACGGGUGCGUAACACGUGAGCAACCUACCGAUUUCUGGGGGAUAGCCGGCCCAACGGCCGGGUAAUACCGCAUACGCUCAUUGGGGGACAUCCCUUGGUGAGGAAACCUCCGGGGGAAAUCGAGGGGCUCGCGGCCUAUCAGCUAGUUGGCGAGGUAAUGGCUCACCAAGGCGAUGACGGGUAGCUGGUCUGAGAGGAUGGCCAGCCACAUUGGGACUGAGAGACGGCCCAGACUCCUACGGGAGGCAGCAGUGGGGAAUCUUGCGCAAUGGUCGAAAGACUGACGCAGCGACGCCGCGUGCGGGAGGAAGCUCUUCGGGGUGUAAACCGCUGUUGCCCGGGACGAAGGCUGGACUUCAGUCCAGUUGACGGUACCGGGUGAGGAAGCACCGGCUAACUCUGUGCCAGCAGCCGCGGUAAUACAGAGGGUGCGAGCGUUGUCCGGAAUCACUGGGCGUAAAGGGCGCGCAGGUGGCGGCAUAAGGCCGCGGUGAAAGUCUGGGGUCAGCCCUCAGAUCGAUCCGCGAUCGACUGUUCCCCUCGGGGUACCGUAGAGGCAGAAGGAAUACCGGCUGUAACGGUGGAAUGCGUAGAGAUCCGGAAGAACACCAGUGGCGAAGGCGGUCUGCUG
rnacentral:rRNA from 1 species